UGGACCCGCGGCGUAUUAGCUAGUUGGUGAGGUAAUGGCUCACCAAGGCGAUGAUACGUAGCCGACCUGAGAGGGUGAUCGGCCACACUGGGACUGAGACACGGCCCAGACUCCUACGGGAGGCAGCAGUAGGGAAUCUUCCGCAAUGGGCGAAAGCCUGACGGAGCAAGACCGCGUGGGGGAAGAAGGCUCUUGGGUUGUAAACCCCUUUUCUCUGGGAAGAAAGUUGUG
rnacentral:rRNA from 1 species